AUUGAACGCUGGCGGCAGGCCUAACACAUGCAAGUCGAGCGGAGCGGCGGACGGGUGAGUAAUGCCUAGGAAUCUGCCUGGUAGUGGGGGAUAACGUCCGGAAACGGGCGCUAAUACCGCAUACUAUCAGAUGAGCCUAGGUCGGAUUAGCUAGUUGGUGGGGUAAAGGCCUACCAAGGCGACGAUCCGUAACUGGUCUGAGAGGAUGAUCAGUCAGACUGGGACUGAGACACGGUCCAGACUCCUACGGGAGUCAGCAGUGGGGAAUCUUCGGCAAUGGACGAAAGCCUGAUCCAGCAAUGCCGCGUGAGUGAAGAAGGUCUUCGGAUUGUAAAGCACUUUUGUUUGGGAAGCGGUACCAAACGAGUAAGCACCGGCUAACUUCGUGCCAGCAGCCGCGGUAAUAC
rnacentral:rRNA from 1 species